AAGAGAUUGAGACCAUCCUGGCAAACAUGGUGAAACCCCUUCUCUACUAAAAAUACAAAAAUUAGCUGGCGUGGUGGUGCACACCUGUAGUCCUAGCUACUCAGGAGGCUGAGGCAGGAGAAUUGAACCCAGGAGGCGGAGGUUGCCGUGAGCUAUCGUGCCACUCCAGUCCACCCUGGGUAACAGAGCGAGACUCCAUCUCAAGGAAAAAAAUGAAAAAUUGUUUUCAAAAAUAGUAUGUUCACAUACGAUGAAUCUACAAAAUUGUUUUGGUUUAAUCCAUCUUCUUUUGAAACUGAGGGUCAGUUUACUCUGAUUGGCAUAGUACUGGGUCUGGCUAUUUACAAUAACUGUAUACUGGAUGUACAUUUUCCCAUGGUUGUCUACAGGAAGCUAAUGGGGAAAAAAGGAACUUUUCGUGACUUGGGAGACUCUCACCCAGUUCUAUAUCAGAGUUUAAAAGAUUUAUUGGAGUAUGAAGGGAAUGUGGAAGAUGACAUGAUGAUCACUUUCCAGAUAUCACAGACAGAUCUUUUUGGUAACCCAAUGAUGUAUGAUCUAAAGGAAAAUGGUGAUAAAAUUCCAAUUACAAAUGAAAACAGGAAGGAAUUUGUCAAUCUUUAUUCUGACUACAUUCUCAAUAAAUCAGUAGAAAAACAGUUCAAGGCUUUUCGGAGAGGUUUUCAUAUGGUGACCAAUGAAUCUCCCUUAAAGUACUUAUUCAGACCAGAAGAAAUUGAAUUGCUUAUAUGUGGAAGCCGGAAUCUAGAUUUCCAAGCACU
rnacentral:sRNA from 1 species